GAAGGACAGAGAGAAAUUGCAUGCCUGGAGUCUCACUGCUAGUACAUAGAGGUGUUAUCUUCCUUUCAUCUAACAUAUUUAUUGAGCACCUACUAUGUACCAGGCCUUGUGCUAGACUCUGGGGAUAUGGAAAUGAGCAAAGUAGAUGUACCCCCGAAACUUGUGGACUAAUGGAGGAGACGGACCUUAAUCAGAUCGUCAUUCAAAGAUACUAUUACAAACUGUUCUGAGAGCCGAGGAAGCAGGAAGGAGCUGUGAGAGACUGAGCUCUAACCUUGGCCAUCAAAGACAAGCUGUGCAGCUCUGGUUUUUUGAGGGCAGGACAUGGAGGGUCAGGCCCAGCUGGAGGCGCACCAAAGCCCAGAGAAAAUUCAGAACCACGUGAACUUGUUGGAUUUCAGCCCCUUGAAGCACAUGUUGCUAUUGCAGCUGCCUUGAUAACUGGGGGGACAGGAGGAGCACGGCUUUCCCAUCUUGUACGGGGACUCGCCAAUCCAGUUGCCCCUGGAAGAGAAAAGGACCCAGGGAGACAGAGGAGCAUUAGGCUACUAAUGACUUCAAGAACAUCAGAAUAAUACAAUAGAAAGAAUUUGGAAUUUGGAAUCAAAAGACUGAUUCUUCUGAACCAGCUCUACUACUUGUUGGCUUUGUGACAUUUGGUAAAUUACUCAACCUGCCUGAGCCUCAAUUUCUUAAUUUGUAAAAAGAAUGUCCUCCUAGGGUUCCCCCCUUUUUCCUUCUUUCUUUCAUCUCUUCAAUGAGAUAGUGUGAAAGUAGUUUGUAAAUGAUUAAAGGCUAUGUGACAGUAAAA